GCCGGGCGCGAGGCGAACGCCUGUAGUCCCAGUUACUUGGGAGGCUGAGACAGGAGGAUCGCUUGUGUCCAGGAGUUCUGGGCUGUAGUGCUCUAUGCGGAUCGGGUGUCUGCACUAAGUUCGGCAUCAAUAUGGUGACCUCCCAGGAGCGGGGAGCCACCAGGUUGCCUAAGGAAGGGGUGAACCCGCCCAGGUCCUAGCGAGGUUACAGGAACCCAGCAAGCGCAGCCAGAAAAAGGGGGUCAGGUCUCCA
ensembl:misc_RNA Metazoa_SRP Metazoan signal recognition particle RNA